GUGGUGUUUUUUUUGAUGAAAAAUUCUUUCCCUUACGAAGGUGCAAUCCAUUUGUGACUGGGUCAUAUCACAGGGGACGAGUUCCUGGGCAGAAUCAGGAUACUGGCGUGUCUCCAGGAUUCAUAGCACCUGAUGGCAUGGGCGGCAAUGGCCAAGAGCUGAUGAACAGAGAUGAACGCUAUAAAAAAGAGAAGCGUGUGCAUCCAAAGGGAAAGAAGAAAAAGGUUAAGAGAGGCGAGAACACAGCUUCACCAUUAAAGAGGAAAAUCAUCCAGUCAGCAUCUGACAGUAACGAAAUGUGAUUUGAUUAAUAAGAUAAAUAACACCUAUUUUCUUGUUUAAAGUGAUAGUUCACCCAAAAAUUCUUUCAUUAAUUACUCACCCUCAUGUUGUUUCAAACCCGUAAGACCUUUGUUCACCUUUGGGACACAAACUAAGUUAUUUUUGAUGAAAUGCGAGAGCUGUCUGACCCUGAAUAGACAGCAACGGAACUAUCACGUUCAAGCCCAGAAAGGUAGUAAGAACAAUCAUUAAAAUAGUCCAUGCGGCAUCAGUGAUGGACAGCGUUGCUGUCUAUGCAGGGUCAGAAAGCUCUCGGAUUUUAUCGAUAGCUUAGUUUGUGUUCUGAAGAUGAAUGAAGGUCUUACAGGUUUGGAACGACACAAGGGUAAUUAAUUACAGAAUUUUCAUUUUUGGGUGAACUGUCCCUUUAACGUAGCAUACACACUGCUUUUCUAUAAGCUUAAGCAGCACUUAAAAGCUUUAUAAACUUUGAAUCUAUAACUCUAACUUUCUGUACUCUUUAAAUAAAUUCUUUCAAAAGGA